rnacentral:misc_RNA from 1 species
UUUCCGUAGGUGAACCUGCGGAAGGAUCAUUACAGUUGGGGCCCCGCCCCGAUCAAGAUACCACCCCUUGCUUUUUGAGUACCUCUGUUUCCUCGGCGGGCUCGCCCGCCGAUAGGACAUUUUAAACUCUUUGUAAUUGCAAUCAGCGUCAGAAAUAACUAUAAUAGUUACAACUUUCAACAACGGAUCUCUUGGUUCUGGCAUCGAUGAAGAACGCAGC